rnacentral:rRNA from 1 species
GACGAACGCUGGCGGCGUGCUUAACACAUGCAAGUCGAACGAUGAAGAAAAGAAUUGAAGCUUCGGCAGAAAUUCAUUUCGGAUUAGUGGCAGACGGGUGAGUAACGCGUGAGCAACCUACCUCUUACAAAGGGAUAGCCUCGGGAAACCGGGAUUAAUACCAUAUAACAUUGCGACGAAGCAUUUCGAUGCAAUCAAAGCUACGGCGGUAAGAGAUGGGCUCGCGUCCCAUUAACCAGAUGGUGAGGUAACGGCUCACCAUAGUAACGAUGGGUAACCGGCCUGAGAGGGUGAACGGUCACACUGGAACUGAGACACGGUCCAGACUCCUACGGGAGGCAGCAGUGGGGAAUAUUGCACAAUGGGGGAAACCCUGAUGCAGCAACGCCGCGUGAAGGAAGAAGGCCUUCGGGUUGUAAACUUCUGUCCUAGGGGAAGAAACAAAUGACAUUACCCUUGGAGGAAGCCCCGGCUAACUACGUGCCAGCAGCCGCGGUAAUACGUAGGGGGCGAGCGUUAUCCGGAAUUAUUGGGCGUAAAGAGUGCGUAGGUGGCAUCUUAAGCGCAGGGUUUAAGGCAAUGGCUCAACCAUUGUUCGCCUUGCGAACUGGGGUGCUUGAGUGCAGGAGGGGAAAGUGGAAUUCCUAGUGUAGCGGUGAAAUGCGUAGAUAUUAGGAGGAACACCAGUGGCGAAGGCGACUUUCUGGACUGUUACUGACACUGAGGCACGAAAGCGUGGGGAGCAAACAGG